UACGGGGGGGGCAAGCGUUGUUCGGAAUUGCUGGGCGUAAAGGGCUCGUAGGCGGCCAACUAAGUCAGACGUGAAAUCCCUCGGCUUAACCGGGGAACUGCGUCUGAUACUGGAUGGCUCGAGUUUGGGAGAGGGAUGCGGAAUUCCAGGUGUAGCGGUGAAAUGCGUAGAUAUCUGGAGGAACACCGGUGGCGAAGGCGGCAUCCUGGACCAACACUGACGCUGAUGAGCGAAAGCCAGGGGAGCAAACGGG
rnacentral:rRNA from 1 species